rnacentral:rRNA from 1 species
UUCGCAAUGCCCGAAAGGGUGACGAAGCGACGCCGCGUGUGGGAAGAAGGCCUUCGGGUUGUAAACCACUGUCGGGAGUUAAGAAAUACAAGGAUAUUAAUAGUGUCUUUGUUUGACUAAGGCUCCGGAGGAAGCACGGCUAACUCUGUGCCAGCAGCCGCGGUAAUACAGAGGCGGCAAGCGUUGUUCGGAAUUAUUGGGCGUAAAGAGCACGUAGGCGGCUAUGUAAGUCGGUUGUGAAAGCCUUCCGCUCAACGGAAGAACAGCAUCCGAUACUACAUGGCUUGAGUGCGGGAGGGGAGAGUGGAACUUCUGGUGGAGCGGUGAAAUGCGUAGAUAUCAGAAGGAACGCCGGCGGCGAAAGCGRCUCUCUGGCCCAUAACUGACGCUGAGUGUGCGAAAGCUAGGGGAGCAAACGGGAUUAGAUGCCCCGGUAGUCCUAGCCGUAAACGAUGGGCACUAAGUAGAGGGGUUUUA